rnacentral:rRNA from 1 species
UACGUAGGCAGCAAGCGUUGUUCGGAAUUACUGGGCGUAAAGAGUGUGUAGGCGGUGCUCUAAGUCUGUUGUGAAAUCUCCCGGCUUAACUGGGAGGGUGCGGCGGAGACUGGAGUGCUAGAGUGUGGGAGAGGUAAGCGGAAUUCCUGGUGUAGCGGUGAAAUGCGUAGAUAUCAGGAGGAACACCUGUGGUGUAGACAGCUUACUGGACCAUGACUGACGCUGAGACACGAAAGCGUGGGUAGCAAACAGG